UUAAGCGACUAAGCGUACACGGUGGAUGCCCUGGCAGUCAGAGGCGAUGAAGGACGUGCUAAUCUGCGAAAAGCGUCGGUAAGGUGAUAUGAACCGUUAUAACCGGCGAUGUCCGAAUGGGGAAACCCAGUGCAAUUCGUUGCACUAUCGUUAACUGAAUACAUAGGUUAACGAGGCGAACCGGGGGAACUGAAACAUCUAAGUACCCCGAGGAAAAGAAAUCAACCGAGAUUCCCCCAGUAGCGGCGAGCGAACGGGGAGCAGCCCAGAGUCUGAAUCAGCUUGUGUGUUAGUGGAACGGUCUGGAAAGUCCGACGGUACAGGGUGAUAGUCCCGUACACCAAAAUGCACAGGCUGUGAACUCGAAGAGUAGGGCGGGACACGUGGUAUCCUGUCUGAAUAUGGGGGACCAUCCUCCAAGGCUAAAUACUCCUGACUGACCGAUAGUGAACCAGUACCGUGAGGGAAAGGCGAAAAGAACCCCGGCGAGGGGAGUGAAAAAGAACCUGAAACCGUGUACGUACAAGCAGUGGGAGCACCUUUAUGGUGUGACUGCGUACCUUUUGUAUAAUGGGUCAGCGACUUAUAUUCUGUAGCAAGGUUAACCGUAUAGGGGAGCCGCAGGGAAACCGAGUCUUAACUGGGCGUUAAGUUGCAGGGUAUAGACCCGAAACCCGGUGAUCUAGCCAUGGGCAGGUUGAAGGUUGGGUAACACUAACUGGAGGACCGAACCGACUAAUGUUGAAAAAUUAGCGGAUGACUUGUGGCUGGGGGUGAAAGGCCAAUCAAACCGGGAGAUAGCUGGUUCUCCCCGAAAGCUAUUUAGGUAGCGCCUCGUGAACUCAUCUUCGGGGGUAGAGCACUGUUUCGGCUAGGGGGUCAUCCCGACUUACCAACCCGAUGCAAACUACGAAUACCGAAGAAUGUUAUCACGGGAGACACACGGCGGGUGCUAACGUCCGUCGUGAAGAGGGAAACAACCCAGACCGCCAGCUAAGGUCCCAAAGUCAUGGUUAAGUGGGAAACGAUGUGGGAAGGCACAGACAGCCAGGAUGUUGGCUUAGAAGCAGCCAUCAUUUAAAGAAAGCGUAAUAGCUCACUGGUCGAGUCGGCCUGCGCGGAAGAUGUAACGGGGCUAAACCAUGCACCGAAGCUGCGGCAGCGACACGAUGUGUUGUUGGGUAGGGGAGCGUUCUGUAAGCCUGCGAAGGUGACCUGUGAGGGUUGCUGGAGGUAUCAGAAGUGCGAAUGCUGACAUAAGUAACGAUAAAGCGGGUGAAAAGCCCGCUCGCCGGAAGACCAAGGGUUCCUGUCCAACGUUAAUCGGGGCAGGGUGAGUCGACCCCUAAGGCGAGGCCGAAAGGCGUAGUCGAUGGGAAACAGGUUAAUAUUCCUGUACUUGGUGUUACUGCGAAGGGGGGACGGAGAAGGCUAUGUUAGCCGGGCGACGGUUGUCCCGGUUUAAGCAUGUAGGCUGGUUAUCCAGGCAAAUCCGGAUAAUCAAGGCUGAGGUGUGAUGACGAGGCACUACGGUGCUGAAGUAACAAAUGCCCUGCUUCCAGGAAAAGCCUCUAAGCAUCAGGUAACAUCAAAUCGUACCCCAAACCGACACAGGUGGUCAGGUAGAGAAUACCAAGGCGCUUGAGAGAACUCGGGUGAAGGAACUAGGCAAAAUGGUGCCGUAACUUCGGGAGAAGGCACGCUGGUGUGUAGGUGAAGCCCCUGCGGGUGGAGCUGAGACCAGUCGAAGAUACCAGCUGGCUGCAACUGUUUAUUAAAAACACAGCACUGUGCAAACACGAAAGUGGACGUAUACGGUGUGACGCCUGCCCGGUGCCGGAAGGUUAAUUGAUGGGGUUAUCCGUAAGGAGAAGCUCUUGAUCGAAGCCCCGGUAAACGGCGGCCGUAACUAUAACGGUCCUAAGGUAGCGAAAUUCCUUGUCGGGUAAGUUCCGACCUGCACGAAUGGCGUAAUGAUGGCCAGGCUGUCUCCACCCGAGACUCAGUGAAAUUGAACUCGCUGUGAAGAUGCAGUGUACCCGCGGCAAGACGGAAAGACCCCGUGAACCUUUACUAUAGCUUGACACUGAACAUUGAGCCUUGAUGUGUAGGAUAGGUGGGAGGCUUUGAAGCGUGGACGCCAGUCUGCGUGGAGCCAACCUUGAAAUACCACCCUUUAAUGUUUGAUGUUCUAACGUUGGCCCCUUAUCGGGGUUGCGGACAGUGUCUGGUGGGUAGUUUGACUGGGGCGGUCUCCUCCCAAAGCGUAACGGAGGAGCACGAAGGUUAGCUAAUCCUGGUCGGACAUCAGGAGGUUAGUGCAAUGGCAUAAGCUAGCUUGACUGCGAGCGUGACGGCGCGAGCAGGUGCGAAAGCAGGUCAUAGUGAUCCGGUGGUUCUGAAUGGAAGGGCCAUCGCUCAACGGAUAAAAGGUACUCCGGGGAUAACAGGCUGAUACCGCCCAAGAGUUCAUAUCGACGGCGGUGUUUGGCACCUCGAUGUCGGCUCAUCACAUCCUGGGGCUGAAGUAGGUCCCAAGGGUAUGGCUGUUCGCCAUUUAAAGUGGUACGCGAGCUGGGUUUAGAACGUCGUGAGACAGUUCGGUCCCUAUCUGCCGUGGGCGCUGGAGAAUUGAGGGGGGCUGCUCCUAGUACGAGAGGACCGGAGUGGACGCAUCACUGGUGUUCGGGUUGUCAUGCCAAUGGCACUGCCCGGUAGCUAAAUGCGGAAGAGAUAAGUGCUGAAAGCAUCUAAGCACGAAACUUGCCCCGAGAUGAGUUCUCCCUGAGACUAUAAGUCUCCUGAAGGAACGUUGAAGACGACGACGUUGAUAGGCCGGGUGUGUAAGCGCAGCGAUGCGUUGAGCUAACCGGUACUAAUGAACCGUGAGGCUUAACCUU
rnacentral:rRNA from 1 species